rnacentral:lncRNA from 1 species
CAUAAAAUUGGUUGUCUGGUAUUUCAGAAAUCAGGAGGCAAAAGCAGAAAAAUGGGAGGGAGAAAGAGAGGUUGCUUAUGGGUGUCCAUGCUGAUAAAAGCAAGAAAACACAAAUGCCGGAAACUACAGAAAGCAGAGAUCAAGAAUUCGAAAUGAAAUGGAGUGCACGUCCUUUCCCUCGCGCUCACAAAUGUCAGCCUGUGUACCUGGGGGGACACGCCACCGUUGCACAAGCCUCCUGGGUGUGAAUCUGAUGAACACAAAGAGGUCAGACCAAGGUUAAAAACAAGCAGUCGGGGAAAUGUUGCCUUAGUUCUGAGACUAGAGGGGAACUCUGCAGCAGUACCUGGACCACGUGAGUACUAAGUCUGAAUAAAGAAGUAUUUUGUCCGGGAGAGGGGUUUUGGGAUUUUGCGGGGUUUUUCUUCAUACUCUGCUUGGUCCGAACACGCUCUCUGAUAUUUCACGAGUAGCCUGUGAUCACUGACUUGGGCAUUCUCUCCACGAAAGCAAAGCUUCAGCGGCAAUAUCAAGCUGGUCACUUAUCGCCCUUCUGUGACUAGCUUACCCUGACCAAUCUCUUUCAAAGGACAAUACCCCAGGCAUAACAUAUAAUGCAAAUGUAACGUGGCAAUUUGAUUUUCAAGUAGCUCUUCCUAGGGAGCACGGCUAGGCAAGAGCAGCGUGCCAGUCAUCCCUCGUAAAUGUGUUCCAGCAAGCCUCCUCAAGGAUCGCAGAAUAAGUAACCACCUCUACUUUCUGAAAACCAGGUCCUAUCCAGAAAUUGAAACUGCCUCAUUCUCUACAACCUUUAGCUCAUAAGCUUAAUCCUGUGCCCUUCCCUGAGCAGGGUUUGGUGCUCUCAGACUCUCCAAGAGGAGAGAGCCCUUCCUUUCUGGUCUCUCACUCCACUUGAGAUCCCUGGUGGAUUUCUCUUGCUCGCUCGCUCUUGCUCUCACUCUCUCUUUCAAUCUUCCCAACAUCAAACCUGGAGAUGUACGUUAUAUGACACAUUCGUGACCGAGACGAUCAACAGAACUAAAUGGAUGUAUUC